AUGGCGGAGCUGGUGGCCACCAUGGCGAUCGGGCCACUUGUUUCCAUGCUGAAGGACAAGGUGUCCAGCUACCUCCUGGAACAGUACAACGUGAUGGAGGGAAUGGAGGAGCAGCACAAGGCUCUCAAACGCAAGCUUCCGGCCAUCCUCGACGUCAUCAGCGAUGCACAGGAGCAGGCCAUGGCACAGAGGGAAGGUGCCAAAGCCUGGCUUCAGGAGCUCAAGACAGUCGCCUAUGAGGCAAAUGAAGUCUUCGACGAAUUCAAGUACGAAGCCCUCCGCCGUGAAGCCAGGAAGAAUGGGCACUACAGCAAGCUCGGCUAUGAUGUAAUCAAGCUCUUCCCUACACACACCGUGUUGUGUUCCGUUCCAAAAUGGGUCGCAAGCUUUGCCUGA
rnacentral:rRNA from 1 species